rnacentral:rRNA from 1 species
GUACACACCGCCCGUCACACCACGAAAGUUUGUUGUACCCGAAGUCGGUGCCUUAACCUCGCAAGAGGAGAGAGCCGCCCAAGGUAUGGCCGAUGAUUGGGGUGAAGUCGUAACAAGGUAGCCGUAGGGGAACCUGCGGCUGGAUCACCUCCUUUCUAGGAGAGAAGGGUCCUGGAUGAAGCGCUCCUAUUUAGUCUUGUGAAGGAUCCCGAGUGGAAGCCGGGACCGGAGAAAGACCGGGCCUGUAGCUCAGAUGGUGAGAGCGCACGCCUGAUAAGCGUGAGGUCGAUAGUUCGAAUCUAUCCAGGCCCACCAUCUGCGGGGAUGUAGCUCAGUUGGGAGAGCGCCUGCUUUGCAAGCAGGA